rnacentral:misc_RNA from 1 species
GUGAAUCAUCGAAUCUUUGAACGCAAAUUGCACUCCCUGGUAUUCCGGGGAGUAUGCCUGUUUGAGGGUCGUUAGACCAAAAAUCGAAGCGUCUCUCUUUUUUUUAAGGGUGAUCGCGUCGGAAUUGAGCCGUCCUUCAAAUGUUAAUUCAUGUCAAAGUGGCUUGAAAUUCAUCCAUCCGGUACGAUUAUGCGUAUUAAAGAUCAAUUUUGAUAG